GUGAAAUCCUGUAAUCCUUGAGGGACCGCCAGUGGCGAAGGCGUCUUACUAGAACGGGUCCGACGGUGAGGGACGAAAGCUAGGGGCACGAACCGGAUUAGAUACCCGGGUAGUCCUAGCCGUAAACGAUGCGAGCUAGGUGUCACGUGGAUUGCGAAUCCAUGUGGUGCCGAAGGGAAACCGUGAAGCUCGCCGCCUGGGAAGUACGGCCGCAACUGAAACUUAAAGGAAUUGGCGGGGGGGCACAACAACGGGUGGAGCCUGCGGUUUAAUUGGACUCAACGCCGGAAAGCUCACCGGAGACGACAGCGGGAUGAGGGCCAGGCUGAUGACCUUGCUAGACUAGCUGAGAGGAGGUGCAUGGCCGCCGUCAGUUCGUACCGUGAGGCGUCCUGUUAAGUCAGGCAACGAGCGAGACCCGUACCCACAGUUGCCAGCGGCUGCUCCGGCAGGCUGGGUACACUAUG
rnacentral:rRNA from 1 species